GUCGUAGCUCAGUGGCAGAGCAUCUGCUUUCCAUGCAGAGGGUCCCAUGUUCAAUUCCCAGGUAGGGCUG